rnacentral:lncRNA from 1 species
UCAUUUAAUUUUUUUAUCUUAUUUUCCAAUAUAUGUAUUUCACUUUUAUUUUUAUUUGCAUUUCUUUUACAGUAUGCAACAGUAUGUUCUCGAACUUCAAUUUUGAACAGAUCCCAUUGAUGGCCUAUUUUAUCAGUAAGUUUUGUUUUAUUUUUAUAUUUCAUGAUAAGACCUUUUAUUAUAUUUUUAUACUCUGUAUUAUCUAAGAUACUGUUAUUAAUUUUAAAAUAACCUUUCCCUUUUGAUUGUGAUCUCCCUUUUACCUUUAAAGAUAUAGCUUGGUGAUCUGUAUGUGAAAUAAGUGCAGGUCUUAUAUCUGUUGAAUAAAUAUGUGACCUUAUUUCUGGACAAACAAGAAAGUAGUCUAUGCGUGAAGCUUCGUUUAUCUUAUUUUUCCGUCUCCAUGUAAAUUGUAUAUUAUUUCUAUGUAUGUCUCUCCAAAUAUCUAUCAGUUUGUGUGUUUUGAUUAACCCUUUAAACUGUUGACUGGUUUUUGUUUUCUUUUAUUAUUUCUGUUGUUUUUUUUUGUUGUCAAUAUUAGAUAAUGUAUCAUUCAUAUCUCCCCCUACUAUGACCAUACCUAAACUGUUUUUCUGUAUCAUGUCAUUUACUUUUUUGAAGAAAACAUUCCUAUUUUUAGGUAGAUUUGGUGCAUAAAUAUUAACUAGAGUAUAUAUACUUUCUGAAAUUUCUAUGUUAAUCAAAAUUAUGCGCCCCUCCUCAUCUUGAAAUUUAUCAAUUAAUUGAUAAUCAGUGUGAUCACUUAUAAAAAUAGAUACCCCUCUUGAUUGAGAAUUUCCAUAACUGUGGUAUGUAUCACCUUUGAAUUCAUUUUUAAAUUUUUUCCUCUAAAGUAGAAGUAAAAUGACUCUCUUGUACAAAUAAAAUAUUACAAUUCUGAUACUUCAUCCACAUAUGAAGCCUUUGUCUUUUAUCUUUUGAACCAAGACCUUGGCAGUUUAAUGAACAUAUAUGUAUUGUUUCACUCAUUGUUUACCAUAGAUUUCUAGUUAAAAAAAGUAAAGUUUCUUAUAUAUAAUAUAACCAUAAUUUGUUUACAACAUGGUAUAUACAGCUAGUAUUAAUAUUAAUAUACACAUUGUACAUAACAUUGCCAAUAGUGCUUACAAUAAUAUUGCAAAUAAUCAUUUUAACAUUUAUAGUAUGAUAACUACAUUGUUUACUUUUUAUUUCAUUGUCUAUUUUCAGACCGCAUAUGGCCUUGACAUUACUCAGACACUGACCCAGAUUCUGAUUAGCAAAUUGAAGUGGUAUGUCUGAACACCAGAUGUUAUUAAAAGAAAAGUUAAACAAUUUCAGUGAUGGUUUUGUGAUAUACCAUAUUCCAAAUAUUAGCCAGAAUAGAAAUAUAUAUCAUUAUUGGAUUUACCUGUGAAUGUUAAAAAAACGUGGAUGGCUAUACAUUUAGUGACAUGUUCUAAAAAUAGAUUUGGAUUUUCCUUUUCUAUACAUUGAAAACAAGUGUGAAGAAUAUUACCACUCUGGAUUAUAAACGUGGCAUAAAUGACUGAUGGAUUUUUUUUCACAUGGAGAAAAAAUGUUGGAUAUAGAUAUGUGUAUUUCUUGCAAUUUCAAUAUCAAUGAUGUGGUUUUUA